rnacentral:misc_RNA from 1 species
GAAAUGCGAUAAGUAAUGUGAAUUGCAGAAUUCAGUGAAUCAUCGAAUCUUUGAACGCACCUUGCGCUCCUUGGUAUUCCUUGGAGCAUGCCUGUUUGAGUAUCAUGAAAUCUUCAAAGUAAAUCUUUUGUUAACUCAAUUGGUCUCUACUUUGGUAUUGGAGGUCUUUGCAGCUUCACACCUGCUCCUCUUUGUUCAUUAGCUGGAUCUCAGUGUUAUGCUUGGUUCCACUCGGCGUGAUAAGUUAUCUACCGCUGAGGACACUGUAAAAGGUGGCCAAGGUAAAUGCAGAUGAACCGCUUCUAAUAGUCCAUUGACUUGGACAAUACUUUUAUGAUCUGAUCUCAAAUCAGGUAGGACUACCCGCUGAACUUAAGC